rnacentral:rRNA from 1 species
ACGGGGAGCAGCAGGCGCGAAAACUUUACAAUGCAGGCAACUGCGAUAAGGGGACAUCGAGUGGCACGCAAUUUGUGUGUCUGUCCACCCGUCUAAAAAACGGGUGUUAGCAAGGGCCGGGCAAGACCGGUGCCAGCCGCCGCGGUAAUACCGGCGGCUCGAGUGGUGGCCGAUAUUAUUGAGUCUAAAGGGUCCGUAGCCGGCUUAGUUAGUCUUUUGGGAAAUCCAGCGGCCUAUCGUUGGGCGUCCAUGAGAUACUGCUUUGCUUGGGACUGGGAGAGGUAGGAGGUACUCAAGGGGUAGGAGUGAAAUCCUGUAAUCCUUUGGGGACCACCGGUGGCGAAGGCGUCCUACCAUAACAGGUCCGACGGUGAGGGACGAAAGCUAGGGGCACGAACCGGAUUAGAUACCCGGGUAGUCCUAGCCGUAAACGAUGCUCGCUAGGUGUCACGGCAGUCGUGAAUUGCCGUGGUGCCGUAAGGAAGCCGUGAAGCGAGCCACUUGGGGAAGUACGACCGCAAGGUUGAAACUUAAAGGAAUUGGCGGGGGGAGCA